rnacentral:rRNA from 1 species
AACGAACGCUGGCGGCAGGCUUAACACAUGCAAGUCGAACGCUUGGGAGCGAUCCCUUGAGUGGCAGACGGGUGAGUAACGCGUGGGAACAUACCCUUCGGUACGGAACAACUUGGGGAAACUCGAGCUAAUACCGUAUGCGGCCUAUGGGCGAAAGAUUGUAUCGCCGAAGGAUUGGCCCGCGUCCGAUUAGCUAGUUGGUGGGGUAACGGCCCACCAAGGCGACGAUCGGUAGCUGGUCUGAGAGGAUGGCCAGCCACAUUGGGACUGAGACACGGCCCAAACUCCUACGGGAGGCAGCAGUGGGGAAUAUUGGACAAUGGGCGCAAGCCUGAUCCAGCCAUGCCGCGUGAGGGAUGACGGCCUGG